UUCUCCUGGGGUCCAGAGCGUGGCCCUGCGGACCCCGGCCGGGGCCAACCCUCGGUACCGCGCCGGAGCCGCGCGCCGCCUUACAGGGGGCUUCAUAAUAGCCUGAGCCGGGAGCUGAGGCCUCCAGUCUUGAAAUAUGCCAAACGGUCACUGUGGAAUACGCCCUGCUACGGCGGCUGUGAAGAGCCAAAAAGGGCCAACGAGGCGGCUGUGGCAGUUUCUCUUUUCCUCUGUGUGUUUAGAUAUGCCUGUGCCCCAGGGGAGGAGGAGAAGAAAUAAGCUACGCCCCAGCUGAAAAACCAAUUCUUUACUGAAAGGCAUGAAAUUUAAUGCUGCAUCUGGACUGUAACUUCUGCAAGAUCUGAGCUCAGUUGUAACGGACGAUUGUGACAGGCAAAUGUCUGUUUGUAAGGAAGCAGCCUCCUCAAACACUUGAAAAUCUCUUCUGUCCAAGGCUUCGGGCUGCCCAUUGCCUGAUAGCUUGUUUCCUUGAGAGAGGAUUCAUCAGGACUCCAGGCCCUUUUCAUUCAGAGUGCUUUGGAGGGAAAGAAAGAUUUGGGGAAGAAGGAGCAACGAAGAGCAGGCGGCUCCAUGACAUAUCACUGAUUUUCAGCUUGCUGCAAUAAAGACUUUGGUGACUUUCUACCUGGCAGAUGGUGGCAGCGCAGUGGACAGAACCCUGGGCCCGGAGUGAGGAAGAUCUAAAGUCAAACCUGGCCUCAGAUACAGCCUGCUGUGUGACCCUAGGCAAGUAAC